GACGAACGCUGGCGGCGUGCCUAAUACAUGCGAGUUGAGCGCUGAAGGUUGGUACUUGUACCAACUGGAUGAGCAGCGAACGGGUGAGUAACGCGUGGGGAAUCUGCCUUUGAGCGGGGGACAACAUUUGGAAACGAAUGCUAAUACCGCAUAAAAACUUUAAACACAAGUUUUAAGUUUGAAAGAUGCAAUUGCAUCACUCAAAGAUGAUCCCGCGUUGUAUUAGCUAGUUGGUGAGGUAAAGGCUCACCAAGGCGAUGAUACAUAGCCGACCUGAGAGGGUGAUCGGCCACAAUGGGACUGAGACACGGCCCAAACUCCUACGGGAGGCAGCAGGAGGGAAUCUUCGGCAAUGGACGAAAGUCUGACCGAGCAACGCCGCGUGAGUGAAGAAGGUUUUCGGAUCGUAAAACUCUGUUGGUAGAGAAGAACGUUGGUGAGAGUGGAAAGCUCAUCAAGUGACGGUAACUACCCAGAAAGGGACGGCUAACUACGUG
rnacentral:rRNA from 1 species